rnacentral:piRNA from 1 species
AGACCUACGAUUACCUGUUCAAGCUGCUG